UGGGGAAUAUUGGACAAUGGGGGCAACCCUGAUCCAGCCAUGCCGCGUGUGUGAAGAAGGCCUUCGGGUUGUAAAGCACUUUCAGUGAGGAAGAAGGCCUUGGGCUUAAUACGUCCGAGGAAGGACAUCACUCACAGAAGAAGCACCGGCUAACUCCGUGCCAGCAGCCGCGGUAAUACGGAGGGUGCGAGCGCUAAUCGGAAUUACUGGGCGUAAAGCGCGCGUAGGUGGCGUGAUAAGCCGGUUGUGAAAGCCCCGGGCUCAACCUGGGAACGGCAUCCGGAACUGUCAUGCUAGAGUGCAGGAGAGGAAGGUAGAAUUCCCGGUGUAGCGGUGAAAUGCGUAGAGAUCGGGAGGAAUACCAGUGGCGAAGGCGGCCUUCUGGACUGACACUGACACUGAGGUGCGAAAGCGUGGGUAGCAAACAGG
rnacentral:rRNA from 1 species